ensembl:lncRNA
CUGGAAACCUUUGCAGAACAUUGUUUUAUUACAAGACCAAACUUGGGACAAAGGGCAACUACAGGCAAAUGCAAAAAAAAAAGUGUAUAAUAACAGGGGAACAGACUGUUGUCAGGUUACAAAAACAAGCUAGGCUAGCAAUAUACUUGCUGUUAUUUCAUCUACACGUUUAUGUGUUCAUAUUUGGUGCCUUAAGUGUUAUGCUACAUAAGUGUCAUCCAUUGUGUGCAACCUAAGAAAUUCAAAGUGCAAAGUGCUGCAAAAUUAGAAAUGCUAAGGGCAGUGCAGGCACUCAAGCAGCAUCAGAAUGACUGAAAGUUAUACAUCUGCAUGAUAUGUCCUUGCUUUUAGUACAUAGCCAAUUAUGUGAACAUAUUCAAAACAGCCGUUUGUCUGUAUGAGGGAAUGAGCAAACAGCAAGUACAUCUCUAACAGUUUAGGCUGGGAAAGAAUCAGAACCAUUUUAGAAAAAGGUUGAGGUCUUUCAUGGGUAAUAAAAGCCUCCUCUUCAAACACCAGAUCAGUCACAUACAGUCAUGAAACAUUUCCUCAUGAUCUUCUUAUGUGUUUUGGCCUGGUGCAGAAGAAACAUAAAGCAGGUCAGUUAUCUCCUCUUCUAAUGGUAAUUGUGGUAGUCAUUGGUGGUGGGGAUACACCUUGGGUUGUUGGUGAAGGAGGCGGUGCUGAGGUUGUUGGAAGGCGUAGUUGUAGGCAUGGAAGAGAGGUGGAGGAAAUAACUUGCCAGACAUGGACAAGGCUUGGUUGCAGUUGCAGUUGUUGGGGGAGUGGUUGUAGUUUUUGGUGGUGGAGGAGGAGGUGGAGCUGGAGCUGGAGUUGUUGUUGGAGGUAAGGUUGUAAUUGUAGUUAAUGGUGGUGGAGGUACACCUGGGGUUGUUGGUGGAGGAGGUGGAGCUGGAGUUGUUGUUGGAGGUAAGGUUGUAAUUGUAGUUAAUGAUGGUGGAGGUACACCUGGGGAUGUUGGUGGAGGCGUGGUUUUAGUUGUAUCAGGAAGGUUGUAGUUGUGGGAGGGAUGUGGUGGAAUUAUCUUGUCAGACAUGGAUACCAUAGAAACAUCUGAAAUCAAUCUUCUUGUUUUUUUUUUGGCCUAGACUUGUAGUGUAGGUCAGUUAUCUCCUCUCCUAGUGGUGGUGGUUGUAGUUGGUGGUGGUGGGGGUAUACCUGGGGUUGUUGGAGGAGGAGGUGGAGGUGGGGUUGUUGUGGUAGUUGUUGUUGUUGUUGUUGGCGUGGUUGUGGUAGUUGGAGGCUUGGUUGUAGUUGUGGUUGUUGGUGUUGGGGGUAUACCUGGGGUUGGAGGAGGUGGAGGUGGGGUUGUUGUGGUAGUUGUUGUUGUUGGCGUAAUUGUGGUUGUUGGUGGUAUACCUGGGGUUGUUGGUGGAGGAGGUGGAGCUAGGGUUGUUGUUGGAGAUGUGGUUGUAGUUGUUGGUGGUGGAGGAGGUGGAGCUGGGGUUGUUGUUGGAGGCGGGGUUGUAGUUGUGGGAGGGAGGUAGAUGAAAUAUCUUGGCGGACAUGGACACCAUGGAAACAUCUGAAAUUAACAGAUUUCAAAGGUUAGUGGACCAGACACUCUUAAUUAACCUUUUCUUAGGUGUCCCUUAAACUGAGUCCCAACAUCCUUAAAUUUAGUUUUUAAACCUUUUUAUAAAAAGAAAUACAGUAGAGAUAUUUAUAAAUACACACAUACACACAUUAGAACGACAAUUUUUGUACUUUAUCAUUUAACACCAACACAUCAUUACAGCCCUCAUUUCUUCUAAACUGAAUCACACAGCGCUCUUUACAGAGUUAUUGUCUGACACAUUUUUUAUUAAGCAUGCUAACACUUCUUACUCUGCCACUCUCCACUGUUUAAAUUAGAGUGAAAGAUGCUAAAUAAUGAUCAGUCUGCAUGUUGACAUAUAUUUUAUGAUCUUGCUUUAGUAGUUAUUAACAGCAUUAUCAUUCCAGUGUAGAUUCAGUGUCGAAAAGUGUGAAUUCAGCCAACGUCUGUCAGUUUUCUCACCAGUAGGGGAACUCUCCGCUGAUAUGGAAAAACCUGAAAUGAAAAAAUCACAAACUUUGAUUACAUUUUUUGUAGUAACUCAUAACAUGUUCAGCAUGUAUUAUUAGAUAUUAAGGAAACAUGUUAAGUUUUAGCACCAGCACCAUGUCCUUAUUUGAACUGUGUGGUAUGUCAUGGUAAUCUGAUAGAUAGAUAGAUAGAUAGAUAGAUAGAUAGAUAGAUAGAUAGAUAGAUAGAUAGAUAGAUAGAUAGAUAGAUAGAUAGAUAGAUAGAUAGAUNAUCUGAGAAGGGUGUAUUUUUGUAAGUUCAUAUUCAUAAAGUUUUAAAAGUUUAGAAAUCAAUAUUUGCUGUAUUUUAAUCAUGUUUUUAAUGCAUCUUGGCAGGUUCUCCUCCACCAGUUUUACACACUGCUUUUGGAUAACUUUAUGCCACUCACUCCUGGUGCAAAAAUUAAAGCAUUUCAGCUUGGUUUGAUGGCUUAGUACUUAUUAAACAGUAAAAAUGUAAAUCCUGUCAACUUCUGCCACUUUCUCACCUGGAUUGGGGGAAAUCUCUGCUGAUUUGGAAACACCUGAAAUGAAAUAAUUUCAAAUAUUAAUAAACACUCCUCAUCUUAAUCA